AAAAGAUCUUUACCAAUCCUAGAGCAGAUAGAGGCCUUAUAUCCAAAAUAUACAAAGAACUCAAGAAGUUAGACCGCAGGGAGACAAAUAACCUUAUUAAAAAAUGGGGUUCAGAGCUAAACAAAGAAUUCACAGGUGAAGAAUGCCGAAUGGCUGAGAAACACCUAAAGAAAUGUUCAACAUCUUUAGUCAUAAGGGAAAUGCAAAUCAAAACAACCCUGAGAUUUCACCUCACACCAGUGAGAAUGGCUAAGAUCCAAAACUCAGGUGACAGCAGAUGCUGGCGAGGAUGUGGAGAAAGAGGAACACUCCUCCAUUGUUGGUAGGAUUGCAGACUGGUAAAACCAUUCUGGAAAUCAGUCUGGAGGUUCCUCAGAAAAUUGGACAUUGAACUGCCUGAGGAUCCAGCUAUACCUCUCUUGGGCAUAUACCCAAAAGAUGCCUCAACAUAUAAAAGAGACACGUGCUCCACUAUGUUCAUCGCAGCCUUAUUUAUAAUAGCCAGAAAAUGGAAAGAACCCAGAUGCCCUUCAACAGAGGAAUGGAUACAGAAAAUGUGGUACAUCUACACAAUGGAAUAUUACUCAGCUAUCAAAAACAACGAGUU
rnacentral:lncRNA from 1 species